rnacentral:rRNA from 1 species
UCAGGCCUAACACAUGCAAGUCGAGGGGCAGCAUAAAACAAGCUUGCUUGUUUGGUGGCGACAGGCGCACGGGUGCGUAACGCGUAUGCAACCUACCUUAUACAGGGGUAUAGCCCGGAGAAAUUCGGAUUAAUCCCCCAUAGUACUGAGCCACCGCAUGGUGAAUCAGUUAAAGUUUCGGCGGUAUAAGAUGGGCAUGCGUCCUAUUAGCUAGAUGGUAAGGUAACGGCUUACCAUGGCUACGAUAGGUAGGGGGCCUGAGAGGGUGGUCCCCCACACUGGUACUGAGACACGGACCAGACUCCUACGGGAGGCAGCAGUGAGGAAUAUUGGUCAAUGGGCGCAAGCCUGAAAAGGGCAUGCCGCGUGCAGGAAGAAUGCCCUAUGGGUUUAAAGGGCUUUUAUUGGGGAUAAACCUCCUUACGUGUAGGAG